GUGCUUGCUUCGGCAGCACAUAUGUGAAAAUUGAAAUGAUACAAAGAAGAUUAGCAUGGCCCCUGCGUAAGGAUGAUACGCAAAUCCAUGAAUCAUUCCAUAUUUUU
rnacentral:snRNA from 1 species